rnacentral:rRNA from 1 species
AUACGGAGGAUGCAAGCGUUAUCCGGAUUUAUUAGGUUUAAAGGGUGUGUAGGCGGUAUUUUAAGUCAGUGGUGAAAUCUCGGAGCUUAACUUCGAAACUGCCAUUGAUACUGAAAUACUUGAGUAUAGUUGAGGUAGGCGGAAUAUGUAAUGUAGCGGUGAAAUGCAUAGAUAUUACAUAGAACACCGAUUGCGAAGGCAGCUUACUAAACUAUUACUGACGCCGGUGCACGAAAGCGUGGGGAGCGAACAGGAUUAGAAACCCUAGUAGUCC